AUCUGUUCAGCAGCACAUACACUAAAAUUGGAAAGUACAGAGAAGAUUAUCAUGGCCUCUGUGGAAGGAUAACAAGCAGAUCUGUGAAAUACAUAUUUAUAUU